GUAGAUUUGCCACAUUAAUGCGGUUAUGCCCUUAACGUCAUUUUAACGAGAUUAACGCUGAAAGCACUAAAAUAAACGCAUUGCAGAGGAGUCGUGCCCAUCAUGCAGUCUUAUUUAGAUUGCCAACAUGCUGCAAACAAUCUGUCUGCAUUUAUAAAUAAGACAGCAGUUAUUUGCAAAUCUGCUUGAAAAUGACUGCAGUCAGUUAAAAAAGCAUGUUUUAAAAGCUUUGACACACGAAUAUCAUCACAUUUUUUAAACUACACGUUGUCUGGGUGUGCAUACACUUUACGCACAAUUACGAUUUCUGUGUUUUCCAGGUGGCGGCUCCUAGAAACAGCAGCCUGUUUAACAGCCAGAAGGGCGACGGGCCUAUUAUGAUUUAUGAAAAGGGAUGCCUUCCAUACUUCAUCGAGACCAUAAUGAGUGUGAUUAGGACUGUGUUGGGCGUAACAAUGGGAAUCAUGUUAUUGUGGAUAUUGUCAGCAGUAUUGUGUAUAGCCAUCUUGUGCCAGCUCGAUCGGAAGAAAGACACCCCUGCAGUGGUCUACAGUGCAGAGGCAAAAGCAGGCAACUACACCACCCUCACAGAGGUUUCAGACCACUCCUGAUUUCUUUGUUUCUGAUUCAGCGUGUUAAGCAAAGCUAAGGCAAACCUUGGAGGCAAUGGGAUUAAUAGAAGACGUUAUGAUGAUUGGAUAUAUUGACUAUAUUAUACCAUGCAAGUGUAUUUUGAACUUCUUUGUUAAGGGUAUUUUCUAUUCACUAUGUAAUCCCUAAUGAGCUGUACAUUUGGGCUGUGCCACAAAAAACAAAACUGUGAAAGACUAUGUUCCUUUUUUGAUCAAUAUUUCUAUCCAGUAUAACCAAAAGGGAUAUGAUAAGUGACAGAGUGUCUUAACCGCUUUGCGCCUUUGAGCUCUGUGUUUAGAGACUUGUGGUAAUUCUGCCCUGACAUGGAGUGUAAUCUAGUACCUCUGUGAUUUUUAGCACCGGCAAGCAAGAAACUAAGUAAAAAUUCAGAGUUUAAAGCUAAUGUGCUCAGCAAAAAAGCACUUAUGAAUAGUAUGGGUGAAUUAAAGCUUAACUGAUAUUUUGUAGUUUGGUAGCUUUUCAUUUUUCUUUAACUCUGACUCUUUUUUUUUUUUUUUUCAUUCAAAGCUUUUUAAUACUCUCAUAUUUGAUAAGACGGGGGUUUAGUAUAAGGUGCCUUUUUUCAUUGCUCCGUAUCGUUUAGAUCAGCUGCUAAAGAAAAAAAAAAUCCUUCAAUCCACUUUCUUCCUUAGCCUUGCUGUGGCACAUCCCACAUCCUUUAUCCACUGCAUAAAUGAAAGGACAAAAGGAAAAUAUACAGCUUACAGUUUACACCUCUAACUGUCUAAACCACAGUUAAUGUAUCGAUUCUUGUUCCCUAGGUUUGUGGGAACAUUUUAGAAAAAUUCGAAAAUUCAUUGUGUAAUAAAAUGUUUUAUAUUCCCUUCA
ensembl:lncRNA